GGGGUAUAGCUCAGUUGGGAGAGCAUCUGACUGGCAGUCAGAAGGUCAGGGGUUCAAGUCCCCUUACCUCC
rnacentral:tRNA from 1 species